rnacentral:rRNA from 1 species
GACGAACCGUGCGAACGUUGUUCGGAAUCACUGGGCUUAAAGGGCGCGUAGGCGGUUGGCAAAGUCCGGGGUGAAAGCCCCCAGCUCAACUGGGGAAGUGCCUCGGAUACUGGCGAACUGGAGGGAGGUAGGGGCGGAUGGAACUUCCGGUGGAGCGGUGAAAUGCGUUGAUAUCGGAAGGAACGCCGGUGGCGAAAGCGAUCCGCUGGACCUCUACUGACGCUGAGGCGCGAAAGCUAGGGGAGCGAACAGG